rnacentral:tRNA from 1 species
GGAGGGUACAGCUCAAGUGGAGAGCACAUGCUUAGCGUGCACGAGGUCCGGGGUUCAACCCCCAGUCCCUCCA